UAACCUGCUAAAUAGAUGUCGUAUUUACGAAUAUUGCAUCUUCUUAGAGGGACAAACUACUUUUUAGUGGUUGGAAGUUUGAGGCAAUAACAGGUCUGUGAUGCCCUUAGAUGUUCUGGGCCGCACGCGCGCUACACUGAUAAAGGCAGCGAGUUUAUAACCUUAUUCGGAAGAAUUGGGGAAUCUUGUGAAGCUUUAUCGUGAUGGGGAUAGACCAUUGCAAUUAUUGGUCUUCAACGAGGAAUUCCUAGUAAGCGCAAGUCAUCAGCUUGCGUUGAUUACGUCCCUGCCCUUUGUACACACCGCCCGUCGUU
rnacentral:rRNA from 1 species